rnacentral:rRNA from 1 species
GCUUGGCCCUAAACCUCAGUAAUUAGAUAACAAAACUACUCGCCAGAAUACUACAAGCAACAGCUUGAAACUCAAAGGACUUGACGGUGCUUUACAUCCCCCUAGAGGAGCCUGUUCCAUAAUCGAUAAACCCCGAUCCACCCUACCCUCUCUUGCUCAGCCUAUAUACCGCCAUCUUCAGCAAACCCUAAUGAAGGCCACAAAGUGAGCGCAAACGCCGCCGCCGCGAAUACGUUAGGUCAAGGUGUAGCCCAUGAGACGGUAAAAAAUGGGCUACAUUUUCUGUUUCAGAAAACCCCACGAAAACCCUUAUGAAACUUAAGGGUCCAAGGAGGAUUUAGCAGUAAAUUAAGAAUAGAGUGCUUAAUUGAACCAGGCCAUAAAGCGCG